ensembl:lncRNA
AUAUGGUCUGCAUUUUACGGCGCUGACUUACACCAAGACUUGAGACCUUUACCAGGCAGGGUCACAUAUUAAAUAUCACUUCAAAAGGUACAAGAUGUCUCAAAGGCCAAGGGAAGCAAGCAAAGGUGCAGAGUGUAGAUAGAAGAGCAGAAUCUCGGAAUUGUAGGCAGGUCAUGAGCGAGAAACCACAGAGAGGGAGAGAUGAGCUUAGAGACUAGAGGGGGAGGCUGAGUCGACGCCAUUCAGAACGGGCCUAUGAGGAGAGAGAGAAAGAGAGAGAGAGGCUGAAAAGAGAGCGAGAGCAGGCACAGGAAAGAUAAAGAAAGAAAAAGUUAGUGAGGGAUGGCCUAGUUCCCUAAGGCUCUUAUCUGGUCGGACAGCAGCUUUUGGCUAGACAAUGACAAUCAUCCAGUGAGUUUGGAUGAUUUUGAGGCCUGAAGUGAAGGCAGAUAGAGAGACAGAGAGAGAGAGAGAGGGAGGGAGGGCCGGGGCCUAGGUUUGGGUUUAGGGCAGAGACGACGGAAGACGGAGAGUGAGGGACUAGAGCUGUAGGUUAUCCAAGAUGGCGAAACCUAAGGUGGCGUGAGCAAGGUGUGAUUUGGUCAGUGACGUGUGUGUGUGUGUUAGUGUGUAUGAGUGUGUGUGGACUGGCCCACCACUUUGGAUCUGAAACUUGACUGGCAGUCGCUGCUUUUGUGCAGGUAUGGAUUCCACUGCAAUACUGAGUGUGGUGGGUGGACUCUUUCUUCUGUCAAUCGUCAUCCUGACCGGUCUGUGCCUACACUGCAAGGGAAACAGCCAAACAAAGUACACGCAGCAGUAUCAACAGUCCAGCCAACUGAACCAAGGAUUUACAGUCAUUCGCCCACAUGCAGAGAAUCCUUUAACCACUACCCUCCCUACUCAGACUUCUCUACACCAGCUUGUGACUUCUCCAUUGUUGCCUGAUCCCAGGCGGCAUUCUGCUUGCCCUUCCUCUAAUGGUAGCGAUUAUGUCAACCAAAAUGAAGACGAUGAUUUUGAUGAUGGACCUGGCUAUGAGAUUCCCCCUGAAAAGAACCAAGACGAUCCUGAAUAUCUGGAUGUGUUACCAGAUGACCCACACCAGUCACAGCACAGUCUGGCCUCUUCUGCAAAUUCAGGUCAAAAUUAUGAGAACGUCACUGAGAUUCACGUUUUACCUAGAGACGGCGAUGUUUAUGUUGUUGGUGAUGAAGACGAUGAUGAUGAUAAUGAUGAUGAUGAUGAUGAUGACGAUGACCAACAGUACAUCAAUGUACACCAGCCGAACAUAGACUUCCAAACCCCGGUUGGAUCCUAUGGAAGCAGUGACGGACAUGACAGCUCAGACUACGUAAACGCGCCUGUCCAAAUGGAAAUGUCAAGAUUCUGUCAUGGUGACCUCAUUUUCCCUGAUGACGCGUCAUUUCCGCAGUAACCGCAUAAACACUGGUUUGCAUUACCAUCAACCUGGGUCAUUAAGGACAUCAGAGAAAAAGCCUCAAGAUGAGAUAUCCACCAGCAUACAUGCAGGAGAGUUUAAAACUGUCUGGAAUAAACCGUCUGAAAAAAAAAAAGUCCUGUAAGGA